UACGUAGGGUGCAAGCGUUGUCCGGAAUUAUUGGGCGUAAAGAGCUCGUAGGCGGUUUGUCGCGUCUGCUGUGAAAACUCGGGGCUUAACUCCGGGCCUGCAGUGGGUACGGGCAGACUAGAGUGCGGUAGGGGAGACUGGAAUUCCUGGUGUAGCGGUGAAAUGCGCAGAUAUCAGGAGGAACACCGGUGGCGAAGGCGGGUCUCUGGGCAGUAACUGACGCUGAGGAGCGAAAGCGCGGGAGCGAACAGG
rnacentral:rRNA from 1 species